rnacentral:rRNA from 1 species
AGAGUUUGAUCCUGGCUCAGGAUGAACGCUAGCGGGAGGCUUAACACAUGCAAGUCGUGGGGCAGCAUAGGGUAGCAAUACUCUGAUGGCGACCGGCGCACGGGUGAGUAACGCGUAUGCAACCUACCCUGUACAGGGGGAUAGCCCGGAGAAAUUCGGAUUAAUACCCCAUAAAGAUAUUUUGAGGCAUCUCAGGAUAUUUAAAGCUUCGGCGGUACGGGAUGGGCAUGCGUGACAUUAGCUAGUUGGUAGGGUAACGGCCUACCAAGGCUGCGAUGUCUAGGGGUCCUGAGAGGGUGAUCCCCCACACUGGUACUGAGACACGGACCAGACUCCUACGGGAGGCAGCAGUGAGGAAUAUUGGUCAAUGGGCGUAAGCCUGAACCAGCCAUCCCGCGUGAAGGAAGAAGGCGCUAUGCGUUGUAAACUUCUUUUCCAGGGGAAGAAAACCUCCGAUGUAUCGGGGCUUGCCGGUACCCUGGGAAUAAGCAUCGGCUAACUCCGUGCCAGCAGCCGCGGUAAUACGGAGGAUGCGAGCGUUAUCCGGAUUCAUUGGGUUUAAAGGGUGCGUAGGCGGAUCAAUAAGUCAGUGGUGAAAACCUGCAGCUUAACUGUAGACGUGCCAUUGAUACUGUUGGUCUUGAGUAUGGUCAAGGUAGGCGGAAUGUGUAAUGUAGCGGUGAAAUGCUUAGAUAUUACACAGAACACCAAUUGCGAAGGCAGCUUACUGGGCCAUUACUGACGCUGAUGCACGAAAGCGUGGGGAGCAAACAGGAUUAGAUACCCUGGUAGUCCACGCCGUAAACGAUGAUCACUCGCUGGUAGCGAUACCAGUUAGCGGCUAACCAAAACAUUAAGUGAUCCACCUGGGGAGUACGGCCGCAAGGCUGAAACUCAAAUGAAUUGACGG